UUAGGCUAUGGCAAAUUAUAAAAGUCCUGUUAUUAAGCACCAAUCCAACUGACAAACCCUCCAAACUUGGUAUUCUACCUUCCCUCUCAAAGUCAUCACGAAGCCUGUUUAUUAUGCUUACCUCACCCUUUGACUGACUGUGCAUGUGUACCAUGGCUUCCUGGAAGAGAUAGGCUCAAGUGCACAUGUGGCUACAAGGCAUCCCUAUGAGCUGGCAGAAGUCCCUGUGCAACAGGUGAUAUGUCCAGAAGUCAGGACUUGGGAAUCUGACUGAAGUUUUAGCUUAUCCAAUCAGAGGACCCCAGAAGGAGUGGUAAAAAUAGGCUAUAUAAGCAUAUGGAGAGGAACCAGACCUAGAAACUCAUGGUCCUAGGUCCAAAUCUGUCUUCAGAUUUCCUAGCUGUGUGACCCUGGGCAAAUCACUUAACCCCCACCGCCUAGCUCUUACCAUUCUUCUGCCUUAGAGCCAAUAUGUAGUAUUGAUUCUAAGAUGGAAUAUAAGGGUUUUUUUUUUUAAAGGUCAGAUAGAGAGGAAAGGAGAAAGGAGAAAACAGGAUCAGUACAGUCCUAUGUUACAGAGCAGUCAAGAAGAAUAAAGCCUAAGAACAGAUUACUGGGUUUUGAUAA
rnacentral:lncRNA from 1 species